GUUCAUACACUACCUAAAUAAAUUAUUACGAAGAAAAUUUUUAAAGUAAAGCAAUUAAGAAAAUCAUUGAAAUGGAAGAAGCAGACAACAAUAAUGAAGAGAAGAGAACUAAGUCUCGCAGUCCCUCGCCAGAGAUCAAAUCAACAGCAGUGGUGAAGUACACUGCAUUCCAGAGUCCAGUGGGGUAUGCUCGUCUACAGUGUAACACCGAUCUCAACAUGCCACCGUCUAACUGGGGAGCAGCCAUCGACUCCUACGGACUUAAGCAGAUCUUGACUAGAGGCACAGGGCUAUCCAGUUUUCGAAUGGCUCACAUGUUCCCGGACUGUGUGGGUGAGGUCGAUGUCAUAUCUGGUGCUGAAUGUAUCAAGAAAUUGCUCAAGUUACCUUAUCAACCCAAUGGCACUGUUAGUAUGAUGGUGCACCGAGUCGAGAAUACCCUGCUACUGGACGAUUUCGACGUUUACGACUACCUGAUGAAGUCGGAGUGGUCCUGGCUGAAGGAUUUCUUUUACGAGAACAUAUUAAAGACUAUGUCUGAACAGGAGCGCACGUUGCUCCGCCUGGGCCCGGCGAGCAGCGCGCUGACCCACAAGUUCCUGUCGCACAGCGUGGCCGAGCCCCCCGCCGCGCCGCCCCCGCUGCCCCCCGCGCCCGCCUGCAUCACCGGUCCGUUUCUCCCGGAGCCGGAGACCAGGCAGGAAGAGCCCCCUAACGUCCACCUGUACAACAGAAACGUUCUAUGGACUUUCGAGGACAUCCACAUGCUGAUCGGCAGCGACCUCCCGAUCUUCGGCGACAAGGACCGGCCCUGCGUCAGUCUCCGGCUGCGCGACGCCAGGGAACCCAUCAACGUGCUAACCGGGAUCGACUACUGGCUGGACAACCUGAUGUGCAACGUGCCUGAGGUGCUGAUGUGCUACCACUUAGAUGGUAUAGUCCAGAAAUACGAGCCGAUGAAGACCGAGGACCUGCCCAACAUGGAGGAUUCAAGAUUUUCGCCGAAAGUCAUAAGGAACGUUGCCCAGAACAUACUUUCGUUUUUGAAGUCGAACGCUACGAAAGCGGGUCACACGUACUGGCUCUUCAAAGGGCCUCACGACGACGUGGUCAAGCUGUACGACCUCACGUCGCUGUGCCCCGACACGCUGGACAACCCCUUCACGACGCCCGUGGCCAUGCUGCUGUACCGGGUCGCCAGGAAUAUGAGGCUGACGAACCGCACGAAGCACGUGCGCCAGCUGCUUGAGCACGUGGUGGAGCUGCUGAAGGUGGAGAGGUACCCGCAGAUAGUGGCCUCCUCGCACUACAUGCUGUCCGACCUGUACGUGCCCGCCACCACCAACCCGGCCUGCCCAGACUUCAAAGAUGAAAACUCCGACUCCGACAACGAAGAUGCCGAUUUCAUGAGCCCGGAGUAUUCCGAUAGGGGACAGAUGUACGAAAACUUAUCCACUGAUAAACCUGCCGAGGAGAAAGAGAUACAAGAUAAGAACGACAAUGAGUGCGAGAAAGAAGAAGCGAUAGAGAAGGCUCUCGCCGUGCAGAUCAGGGGACUGGAGCUUAGAGAUAUCGGGGAUCGCGUGAGGAACAGCAUCGGGGAGGAGAAAGGCAAGGCGUCGGGCUCCAGCGGUCUGGGAGUGGCCGUGCCUGCGCGCUGCGGCCGGGCGCUCCUGCACGCGCUGCGGGGGCUUCUAGCUCUGCACAACGUCACCAUCGACAAGUGCAAGCAGGAGGAGAGGGAGCGACUCAAGCAGCAGAUCAUCGUCGAAGAACAACACCCCAAAAUGGCGAACCCAUACGAACCGAUCAAAAUGAACUACGAGCCAAUCAAUAAAGAGCUCAAAGAACGCUCCCGGGGCCGGAGACGUAAACGAGACCGAAAGAACAGCGAGAAGACCAAUAAGUUGAGCGAAAAGCCGCCCGAUACGAGUGGCUCGUUAGUGGAAACGAAACCCAUAGACAAGAACGCCAUUUUGAUUCGGAAGGAGAAGAAAGUGUUUCCGUCGUGGCACGAACCGAACAGGGACGACAACUUUGCUUGGAAGCUACAUCUGAAAACGUUGCUGUAUGAGAAGAUAUGCUUAGCGUGCGCCACCCUCGCUGAGUACAGCUACGUCAACGAGCAGUACGGCUUCUCCUUAAAGUACAUCGAUAUAGCAUCCAAGUGCCAGAAGCUGCUGAGCAACAUGAUCAUCAAGAGUAAAGUGGUGGACGCCAGCUGCCUCCUGGGCAGGGUGGGCGAUAAUUAUUUUCAGCUGAGCAAGCACUGGGGGAGUCUGGACACGUACAGGAAGCAAUUCGAGACGGACCACGACACGGACAGCGGGCUGAAGGCGGAGAUCGAGAGCGACAUGACCGAGGAGGUCGAGGGUGUCGCUUCGGAUGACUUUGACCUAGAUAUAAGCUUACCGACAAGUGAGACCUCGGCGAUGAUUAUGUCGUGUGACUACUACAGGCGCGCCGUGAGGGUCACUCACGACAAGAGGGAUGAGCUGCUGAGGAGGCUGGCCUCGGUCCUCAACGAGCUCGCCGUCAGAUACAUGAACGACGCCCAGCAAAUUUACAUGAAAUACGCCGAGGAAACGGAUCAAAAAGCGCCCAAAGCUAAGCUACUGUACAAGCAGUUCCAGACCAUGUCCAAGAAAUCAUUGGAGUGUCUGAACGAAGCCACCGAGACGUUCCGAAUGGUCAAUGACAUACCCAAUCUGGCGCUGUUGUACUGCAACAAGGGGAGGUACCUCAGGUUCAAGGCGCAUUGCGACCAAGGGGGUUUCAAUGCAGAGAAGCGCAGCCUGUACAGCCAGGCCGAGGAGUUGUACCAGUCGGCGCUGCGGCUGCUGGGUCCGCGCGAGGCGUGCGCGUGGGGCAGCGUGUGGGAGCUGGUGUGCUGGGAGCUGUCCUGCCACCUGUACACGCGCGCCGUGCUCAUGCAGGACCAGCCCGGCCUGUACGCGCUGGAAGUUCCCGAGGUGUCGGAGGCGUUCAAGCACGCGCUGAAGUACUGCCCCACGAGCCCCGGGCCGCGCCAGUACCUGUACCAGUUCCGCGCCGCCAUGAUCUACCACAAGCUGGGCUCCCUCUACCACGCGCAGUACAGACUGACGUCAGAGGACGGUCCCCGACGGCGCACCCUCGUGACCAGCACGAGCUCGUACUACGCGCAGGCCGCCAACAUGUUCGCUGCGCUUGAGGACGCCGCCAUGUUCCUCACCGUGCAGUGUGAGCACGUCGCGCUCAUGGAGACUCAAGCCGCAGUGUCGCCGAGCUUGAAGCUGAAGUCUAUCCAGACGGCCAUACAGCUGCUGCGUCAGUGCCAGUCCGUGAUGCGGCUGCUGAGGGACCGCGCCCCGGAGGAGCAGCCCCCUCAGCGACCCGAGGAGGGCGAGGAGCGCGCCACCAGCUCCGAGCGCAGCCUCCUGGCGCUGUACGAGAGCCGCCUGCACCACGCGCUGCGGAGCGCCAUCCAGUACUGCCGCGCCAAGGCCAACAGGGACUACGAGAGGCUCGCCCACAUGUACAAGAGCCUCUACAGCGCCAGUCUCAAGAUACAGAGGAGCGACGACGUCAAGGCCUUCGCGGCCAGCAUAUGCGACGUCUUGAUGUCCAUGGACAGCAUAUGUAAAGAAUACGAAUAACGUAAUUUAUCACAAUGGAGGGCACAAUGCCCACAUGCCUCAAAGUGUCUCAAGACAAAACCGUUUUAUGUUGCUUAGUAGAUUACGUACCGGAAGAAACAGAGUAUGCUCUAUGACCCGUGUUGGCUGGCGACAUAGCCUAUCAUCAGUAAACCGCGUUUUAAGUUACAUAUAUUUACUAAAAAAAAUCGAGUCGAUUCAACAACACGAGAGCUUUGACAAUGGAGAAUGGUCUAUAAUAACGACGGAUGGAAUCGGAAAUGUCGUAACUUACAUUUUGGGUUAAACGACUUUUUAUCUUAUUAUAUUAUAUUUAAGGUUCUAGUGUCAAGUUGAGUUUUUUAAGUUACGACAAUUGCGCUUUCUUCCUUCAAUAUAUAAAUAUGUACUUACAUAUGAAAACACAAAGACCCAUUUACCGGUAUGUUUGUUGGCGCUUUUCCUCAUUUUCUUCGCAUUCUUCAUUCCUAUCGCUGAGUCUGUGUGAGCUAUUGGAAAGUCCGUUUUUAUAUUUUCAAAUAAUUUAAUAGCAAAACAAAAGAGAAAAUGGAAUACAUAAAAUGAAUCCAAGGCUUGAGGUGUUAGCGAUUGCGAAUCAAUAUUGAUUACCGGACGGACGUUAGUUUAAUUAACUAUUGAUUAAACUUUUAAUAAGAACCAAAGCCCGCAAUCGAAAUCGAAUUGACUCGCCGGGGCGUUGACCUCGCGCGUCAGCUGAACUGCGUUAAAUGAUUAUGAAAAAUCGUAUUGUGUAUGUCUCGUUUUUGUCGAUGUUCCAAACAAUAAUUAAUUAAUCGAAUAGAUAUGUGUGAGUGGAGAAAUCUGCUCUUAAAUUUCGGAAUAGGUCCAUAGAGGCAGCGUAAUUACUAAUAUUACUAUAUCCAUUUAUGUUUUAAUUACACUACAACCCAGUAUCGAUUAACUGAACAUGAAUGAUAGUUAUUGUCUCUUGAGAACACAUCUUAGAAACUUUAUUCUCUUCGAUGGGUAUAUCGAUAAUAUCGUAUCAGUUCUCGGAAAUACUACCUAUUCUAGUAUCCGUGAACGAAUCUAAUACUUGCUCUAAACAGUAGCUAUUCCCCUUUGGAACUCAUCUUAGAACUUUACGGAUGUAUCCGAUAAUAUCGUAUCAGUUCUCGGAAAUACUACCUAUUCUAGUAUCUGUGAACGAAUCUAAUACUUGCUCUAAACAGUAGCUAUUCCCCUUUAGAACUCAUCUUAGAACUUUACGGAUGUAUCUGAUAAUAUCGUAUCAGUUCUCGGAAAUACUACCUAUUCUAGUAUCUGUGAACGAAUCUAAUACUUGCUCUAAACAGUAGCUAUUCCCCUUUAGAACUCAUCUUAGAACUUUACGGAUGUAUCCGAUAAUAUCGUAUCAGUUCUCGGAAAUACUACCUGUUCUAGUAUCCGUGAACGAAUCUAAUACUUGCUCUAAACAGUAGCUAUUCCCCUUUAGAACUCAUCUUAGAACUUUACGGAUGUAUCCGAUAAUAUCGUAUCAGUUCUCGGAAAUACUACCUGUUCUAGUAUCCGUGAACGAAUCUAAUACUUGCUCUAAACAGUAGCUAUUCUCAAAAUUUUCGAAUCGAUUUUUAGUUUAUUUACUGGUGAUGGGGUAUUCUUCCCUCGUACCGUCAAGUCGGUUAGGAGGUUGAGGGUAUGGUCGCUGUGUUAUUUUGACUUGGAUAGCGAGGAAACUAAUAUGUAUUUUAAAAAUAAUCGUAUAGCAAAUUACUAACAGGUAUUUGCUUGUUACUUGCGAGAAGCCGAACGUGACAAGGUCGUCAAAAACAUUGUUAUUGACAUGAUUAAUGUGCAGUAAAUUAAUCAAAUAGACUAGUUUUAUGAUCUGUGUGUCCGAAGACUGUUAAUGUAGUUAAUGUGUUAAUAUAGUUGUAAGUUUUGUAGUUAUGUGAUAAAAUAUAUUUU
rnacentral:misc_RNA from 1 species